UAGGGAAUCUUCGGCAAUGGGGGCAACCCUGACCGAGCAACGCCGCGUGAGUGAUGAAGGUUUUCGGAUCGUAAAGCUCUGUUGUAAGAGAAGAACGUGUGUGAGAGUGGAAAGUUCACACAGUGACGGUAACUUACCAGAAAGGGACGGCUAACUACGUGCCAGCAGCCGCGGUAAUACGUAGGUCCCGAGCGUUGUCCGGAUUUAUUGGGCGUAAAGCGAGCGCAGGCGGUUUAAUAAGUCUGAAGUUAAAGGCAGUGGCUUAACCAUUGUUCGCUUUGGAAACUGUUAAACUUGAGUGCAGAAGGGGAGAGUGGAAUUCCAUGUGUAGCGGUGAAAUGCGUAGAUAUAUGGAGGAACACCGGUGGCGAAAGCGGCUCUCUGGUCUGUAACUGACGCUGAGGCUCGAAAGCGUGGGGAGCAAACAGG
rnacentral:rRNA from 1 species